GAGGCGCUAGCUCAGCAGGUAGAGCAUCUCCCUUUUAAGGAGAGGGUCCCGAGUUCGAGCCUCGGGCGCCUCA
rnacentral:tRNA from 1 species